UCCUGGUUAGCUCAGUUGGUAGACACCUCCACUAGAAAUGGAGAGGUCCCUGAUUCGAUACCAGAACCAGGAG
rnacentral:tRNA from 1 species